rnacentral:tRNA from 1 species
GCCGAUGUGGUGGAAUUGGUAGACACGCUGUCUUGAGGGGGCAGUGGGAUCACUCCCGUGCCAGUUCGAGUCUGGCCAUCGGCACCA